AUACGUAGGUGGCAAGGGUUGUCCGGAAUUAUUGGGCGUAAAGCGCGCGCAGGUGGUUCCUUAAGUCUGAUGUGAAAGCCCCCGGCUCAACCGGGGAGGGUCAUUGGAAACUGGGGAACUUGAGUGCAGAAGAGGAUAGUGGAAUUCCAAGUGUAGCGGUGGAAUGCGUAGAGAUUUGGAGGAAAACCAGUGGCGAAGGCGACUGUCUGGUCUGUAACUGACACUGAGGCGCGAAAGCGUGGGGAGCAAACAGGAUUAGAUACCCUGGUAGUCCACGCCGUAAACGAUGAGUGCUAAGUGUUGGGGGGUUUCCGCCCCUCAGUGCUGCAGCUAACGCAUUAAGCACUCCGCCUGGGGAGUACGGUCGCAAGACUGAAACUCAAAUGAAUUGACGGGG
rnacentral:rRNA from 1 species